rnacentral:rRNA from 1 species
UACGAAGGGGGCUAGCGUGGCUCGGAAUCACUGGGCGUAAAGCGCACGUAGGCGGCUUUUUAAGUCAGAGGUGAAAUCCUGGAGCUCAACUCCAGAACUGCCUUUGAUACUGAGAGGCUUGAGUCCGGGAGAGGUGAGUGGAACUGCGAGUGUAGAGGUGAAAUUCGUAGAUAUUCGCAAGAACACCAGUGGCGAAGGCGGCUCACUGGCCCGGUACUGACGCUGAGGUGCGAAAGCGUGGGGAGCAAACAGG